CCUACGGGUGGCAGCAGUGGGGAAUAUUGGACAAUGGGGGCAACCCUGAUCCAGCCAUGCCGCGUGUGGGAAGAAGGCCCUCGGUUUGUAAAGCACUUUCAGUGAGGAAGAACGCCUGGUGGUUAAUACCCAUCAGGAAAGACAGCACUCACAGAAGAAGCACCGGCUAACUCCGUGCCAGCAGCCGCGGUAAUACGGAGGGUGCGAGCGUUAAUCGGAAUUACUGGGCGUAAAGCGCGCGUAGGUGGCUUGAUAAGCCGGUUGUGAAAGCCCCGGGCUCAACCUGGGAACGGCAUCCGGAACUGUCAAGCUAGAGUGCAGGAGAGGAAGGUAGAAUUCCCGGUGUAGCGGUGAAAUGCGUAGAGAUCGGGAGGAAUACCAGUGGCGAAGGAGGCCUUCUGGACUGACACUGACACUGAGGUGCGAAAGCGUGGGUAGCAAACAGGAUUAGAUACCCGUGUAGUC
rnacentral:rRNA from 1 species